CCAUUAAUUGGUGUUGCGGGAAUUGGACUGUACUUUGAAAAAAUUAGAGUGUUUAAAGCAAGCUAACGCUUGAAUACAUUAGCAUGGAAUAAUGAAAUAGGACGUUCGAUCCUAAUUUUGUUGGUUUCUAGGAUUGACGUAAUGAUUAAUAGGGAUAGUUGGGGGCAUUAGUAUUCAAUUGUCAGAGGUGAAAUUCUUGGAUUUAUUGAAAGACUAACUACUGCGAAAGCAUUUGCCAAGGAUGUUUUCAUUAAUCAAGAACGAAAGUUAGGGGAUCGAAGACGAUCAGAUACCGUCGUAGUCUUAACCAUAAACUAUGCCGACUAGGGAUCGGAUGAUGUUAAUUUUUUAAUGACUCAUUCGGCGCCUUACG
rnacentral:rRNA from 1 species